rnacentral:rRNA from 1 species
UACGGGGGGGGCAAGCGUUGUUCGGAAUUACUGGGCGUAAAGGGUUCGUAGGUGGCUCGCUAAGUCAGACGUGAAAUCCCUCAGCUCAACUGGGGAACUGCGUCUGAGACUGGGGAGCUCGAGUGCAGGAGAGGAACGCGGAAUUCCAGGUGUAGCGGUGAAAUGCGUAGAUAUCUGGAGGAACACCGGUGGCGAAGGCGGCGUUCUGGACUGCAACUGACACUGAGGAGCGAAAGCGUGGGGAGCGAACAGG